rnacentral:rRNA from 1 species
CCCUUAGAUGUUCUGGGCUGCACGCGCGCUACACUGAUGCGAUCAACAAGUUUUUCCUAUGUCGAUAGACACGGGUAAUCUUUUGAACUCGCAUCGUGAUGGGGAUAGAUUAUUGUAAUUAUUAAUCUUCAACGAGGAAUUCCUAGUAGGUGCAAAUCAUCAGUUUGCAUCGAUUACGUCCCUGCCCUUUGUACACACCUCCCGUCGCUGCUACCGAUUGGUUGAUCUGGUGAAUUAUUCGGACUGCCGGCUGAAGGGGUUUCCUCAUCUGCCAGCGGAAAGUCUUGUUAACCCUAUCAACUAGAGGAAGCAGAAGUCGUAACA